UACGGGGGGGGGCAAGCGUUGUUCGGAAUUACUGGGCGUAAAGGGCGCGUAGGCGGCCUGUUAAGUCGAACGUGAAAUCCCCGGGCUCAACCCGGGAACUGCGUCCGAUACUGGCAGGCUUGAAUUCGGGAGAGGGAUGCGGAAUUCCAGGUGUAGCGGUGAAAUGCGUAGAUAUGUGGAGGAACACCGAUGGCGAAGGCAGCCCCCUGGGCCGACACUGACGCUGAUGCGCGAAAGCCAGGGGAGCGAACGGG
rnacentral:rRNA from 1 species